rnacentral:lncRNA from 1 species
UAGUUCAUUCUGAAAGGCUUAUUAUCAUUUGUAAUAUCACUUAACUUAGAGAGCCUACUUAGGGCUGUUACUGUAUCCACUAAAUGUUAACUGGAUUUAAUUUCUAUAAAUUCUUUAUGCAGAAGACCUGGUUAUCUUUCCAUAUAAAGGCAUAACGUUCAAAGAUGGUAUUCCCGUACCUAUGGGUUUUUCAUGAGAAUGAUUACAC